rnacentral:rRNA from 1 species
GGGUUGUGAGGUUAAGCGACUAAGCGUACACGGUGGAUGCCCUGGCAGUCAGAGGCGAUGAAGGACGUGCUAAUCUGCGAAAAGCGUCGGUAAGGUGAUAUGAACCGUUACAGCCGGCGAUGUCCGAAUGGGGAAACCCAGUGUGAUUCGUCACACUAUCGUUAACUGAAUACAUAGGUUAACGAGGCGAACCGGGGGAACUGAAACAUCUAAGUACCCCGAGGAAAAGAAAUCAACCGAGAUUCCCCCAGUAGCGGCGAGCGAACGGGGAGCAGCCCAGAGUCUGAAUCAGCUUGUGUGUUAGUGGAACGGUCUGGAAAGUCCGACGGUACAGGGUGAUAGUCCCGUACACCAAAAUGCACAGGUUGUGAACUCGAAGAGUAGGGCGGGACACGUGGUAUCCUGUCUGAAUAUGGGGGGACCAUCCUCCAAGGCUAAAUACUCCUGACUGACCGAUAGUGAACCAGUACCGUGAGGGAAAGGCGAAAAGAACCCCGGCGAGGGGAGUGAAAAAGAACCUGAAACCGUGUACGUACAAGCAGUGGGAGCACCUUCGGGUGUGACUGCGUACCUUUUGUAUAAUGGGUCAGCGACUUAUAUUCUGUAGCAAGGUUAACCGUAUAGGGGAGCCGCAGGGAAACCGAGUCUUAACUGGGCGUUAAGUUGCAGGGUAUAGACCCGAAACCCGGUGAUCUAGCCAUGGGCAGGUUGAAGGUUGGGUAACACUAACUGGAGGACCGAACCGACUAAUGUUGAAAAAUUAGCGGAUGACUUGUGGCUGGGGGUGAAAGGCCAAUCAAACCGGGAGAUAGCUGGUUCUCCCCGAAAGCUAUUUAGGUAGCGCCUCGUGAACUCAUCUUCGGGGGUAGAGCACUGUUUCGGCUAGGGGGUCAUCCCGACUUACCAACCCGAUGCAAACUACGAAUACCGAAGAAUGUUAUCACGGGAGACACACGGCGGGUGCUAACGUCCGUCGUGAAGAGGGAAACAACCCAGACCGCCAGCUAAGGUCCCAAAGUCACAGUUAAGUGGGAAACGAUGUGGGAAGGCACAGACAGCCAGGAUGUUGGCUUAGAAGCAGCCAUCAUUUAAAGAAAGCGUAAUAGCUCACUGGUCGAGUCGGCCUGCGCGGAAGAUGUAACGGGGCUAAACUGUGCACCGAAGCUGCGGCAGCGACACUAUGUGUUGUUGGGUAGGGGAGCGUUCUGUAAGCCUGCGAAGGUGGCCUGUGAGGGUUGCUGGAGGUAUCAGAAGUGCGAAUGCUGACAUAAGUAACGAUAAUGCGGGUGAAAAGCCCGCACGCCGGAAGACCAAGGGUUCCUGUCCAACGUUAAUCGGGGCAGGGUGAGUCGACCCCUAAGGCGAGGCCGAAAGGCGUAGUCGAUGGGAAACAGGUUAAUAUUCCUGUACUUGGUGUUACUGCGAAGGGGGGACGGAGAAGGCUAUGUUAGCCGGGCGACGGUUGUCCCGGUUUAAGCAUGUAGGCGGAGGUUCCAGGUAAAUCCGGUACCUUUUUAACGCUGAGGUGUGAUGACGAGGCACUACGGUGCUGAAGUAACAAAUGCCCUGCUUCCAGGAAAAGCCUCUAAGCAUCAGGUAACAUCAAAUCGUACCCCAAACCGACACAGGUGGUCAGGUAGAGAAUACCAAGGCGCUUGAGAGAACUCGGGUGAAGGAACUAGGCAAAAUGGUGCCGUAACUUCGGGAGAAGGCACGCUGAUAUGUAGGUGAAGCCCCUGCGGGUGGAGCUGAAAUCAGUCGAAGAUACCAGCUGGCUGCAACUGUUUAUUAAAAACACAGCACUGUGCAAACACGAAAGUGGACGUAUACGGUGUGACGCCUGCCCGGUGCCGGAAGGUUAAUUGAUGGGGUUAUCCGUAAGGAGAAGCUCUUGAUCGAAGCCCCGGUAAACGGCGGCCGUAACUAUAACGGUCCUAAGGUAGCGAAAUUCCUUGUCGGGUAAGUUCCGACCUGCACGAAUGGCGUAAUGAUGGCCAGGCUGUCUCCACCCGAGACUCAGUGAAAUUGAACUCGCUGUGAAGAUGCAGUGUACCCGCGGCAAGACGGAAAGACCCCGUGAACCUUUACUAUAGCUUGACACUGAACAUUGAGCCUUGAUGUGUAGGAUAGGUGGGAGGCUUUGAAGCGUGGACGCCAGUCUGCGUGGAGCCAACCUUGAAAUACCACCCUUUAAUGUUUGAUGUUCUAACGUUGGCCCGUAAUCCGGGUUGCGGACAGUGUCUGGUGGGUAGUUUGACUGGGGCGGUCUCCUCCCAAAGAGUAACGGAGGAGCACGAAGGUUAGCUAAUCCUGGUCGGACAUCAGGAGGUUAGUGCAAUGGCAUAAGCUAGCUUGACUGCGAGCGUGACGGCGCGAGCAGGUGCGAAAGCAGGUCAUAGUGAUCCGGUGGUUCUGAAUGGAAGGGCCAUCGCUCAACGGAUAAAAGGUACUCCGGGGAUAACAGGCUGAUACCGCCCAAGAGUUCAUAUCGACGGCGGUGUUUGGCACCUCGAUGUCGGCUCAUCACAUCCUGGGGCUGAAGUAGGUCCCAAGGGUAUGGCUGUUCGCCAUUUAAAGUGGUACGCGAGCUGGGUUUAGAACGUCGUGAGACAGUUCGGUCCCUAUCUGCCGUGGGCGCUGGAGAAUUGAGGGGGGCUGCUCCUAGUACGAGAGGACCGGAGUGGACGCAUCACUGGUGUUCGGGUUGUCAUGCCAAUGGCAUUGCCCGGUAGCUAAAUGCGGAAGAGAUAAGUGCUGAAAGCAUCUAAGCACGAAACUUGCCCCGAGAUGAGUUCUCCCUGAGACUUUAAGUCUCCUGAAGGAACGUUAAAGACGAUGACGUUGAUAGGUCGGGUGUGUAAGCGUAGCGAUACGUUGAGCUAACCGAUACUAAUGAACCGUGAGGCUUAACCUUACAACGCCGAAGCUGUU